UACGUAGGAUGCAAGCGUUGUCCGGAAUUAUUGGGCGUAAAGAGCUCGUAGGCGGUGUGUCGCGUCGGCCGUGAAAACCUGCAGCUUAACUGUGGGCUUGCGGUCGAUACGGGCAUCACUGGAGUUCGGCAGGGGAGACUGGAAUUCCUGGUGUAGCGGUGAAAUGCGCAGAUAUCAGGAGGAACACCGGUGGCGAAGGCGGGUCUCUGGGCCGAUACUGACGCUGAGGAGCGAAAGCGUGGGGAGCGAACAGG
rnacentral:rRNA from 1 species